GACGUAGGGGGCUAGCGUUGUCCGGAAUUACUGGGCGUAAAGGGCGUGUAGGCGGCUUUGCAAGUCAGUGGUGAAACACCUGGGCUCAACCGAGGUAUUGCCAUUGAAACUGCAUGGCUUGAGGGUAGAAGAGGAGUGUGGAAUUCCCGGUGUAGCGGUGAAAUGCGUAGAGAUCGGGAGGAACACCAGUGGCGAAGGCGGCACUCUGGUCUACCCCUGACGCUGAGGCGCGAAAGCUAGGGGAGCAAACAGGAUUAGAUACCCCCGUAGUCC
rnacentral:rRNA from 1 species